CCCUUCUCAGGGUCGCACCUGGAGAGUUUUCAGUAGUCUACCAGUCUCGGCUAUAGGAGGGAGAGUCAAGCAGAGGCCUGUGCAUUCCAUUCCUAGCUUGGCCAGUGGCUAGCGAGGGGAAGACCAUCUGCUACAAGU
rnacentral:snoRNA from 1 species